rnacentral:lncRNA from 1 species
AUUGAGAAGGGUAUAAACGGAGGCCGGAGCCAGCUCCAAGUUGGUGGGUCUUGGAGCUCCAAGUGGGCUGGGCAAACCUUAUUUAGGUUGUAUUUAGACUUGAAUAUUGUUCUUUAUGAAAUUGUACACCUAACCCUAAACCCAACCUCACAGUAAC